AGCGAACGCUGGCGGCGUGCCUAACACAUGCAAGUCGAACGUGAACGGGGCAACCCUAGUAAAGUGGCGUACGGGUGAGUAACGCGUAGGUAAUCUACCCCAGAGUUUGGAAUAACCGGCCGAAAGGCUGGCUAAUACUGGAUAGAGCGACGGAAUCCGUAAUUGGGUUUUUCGGGAAAGGGAGCUUGAUAAGAGCCCUCGCUUUGGGAUGAGCCUGCGUCUCAUUAGCUAGUUGGUGGGGUAAUGGCCCACCAAGGCUUUGAUGGGUAGCUGGUCUGAGAGGAUGAUCAGCCACACUGGAACUGAAACACGGUCCAGACUCCUACGGGAGGCAG
rnacentral:rRNA from 1 species